AUUGAACGCUGGCGGCAUGCUUUACACAUGCAAGUCGAACGGUAACACGCUGUCGGGUUCUGAUGCGCGGCUAACGGGCGAGUAAUUCACCGGAACGUACCCAGCGGUGGGGGAUAACGUAGCGUAAGCUGUCUUAAUACAACACGGGAUCUGAGGACGAGAGCGGGGGACGGAGCAGGAAUGUUUGGCCUCGCGCGUUUGGACCGGCCGCUGUCGGAUUAGCUAGUUGGGGGGGUAAAGGCCUACCCGGGGGAGGAUCCGUAGCCGGUCUGAGAGGACGGCCGCCGGCACGGGGACUGGGACACGGACCAGGGUCCUGCGGGAGGCAGCAGUGGGCAACGUUGGGCAGUGGGCGCAAGCCUGAUCCAGCAGUGCCGCGCGCGGGAAGAAGGCGUUCGGGGUGUAAAGCGGUUUUGGCAGGAACGAACCGGUGUCCGCUAAUACCGGGCGUUAAUGACGGUACCUGCAGAAUAAGCACCGGCUAACUACGUG
rnacentral:rRNA from 1 species